UCCGCAGGCGGGCAAGCAAGUCGGUGGUGAAAUCUCACGGCUUAACCGUGAAACUGCCUCCGAUACUGUUUGUCUUGAGUUCGAGAGAGGGUAAUGGAAUUCAUGGUGUAGCGGUGAAAUGCGUAGAGAUCAUGAAGAACACCAGUAGCGAAGGCGGUUACCUGGCUCGAUACUGACGCUCAGGGACGAAAGCGUGGGGAGCAAACAGGAUUAGAUACCCUGGUAGUCCACGCCUUAAACGAUGGAUGUUCGGUGUCGGUCCCGCUGAGUAUUUGUACGCAAGUACCCAGCGGGACCGGUGCCUGAGCUAACGCGUUAAACAUCCCACCUGGGGAGUACGAUCGCAAGGUUGAA
rnacentral:rRNA from 1 species